CGACAACCGACCAGGGACCAACUGCAGACGGAGAACUGGAGAGAAAGCGAAGGAAGAGCCCUCAGGGUGAAAGCGUUAUAAAGAGUUAACGAUAAAAAAUAGCUUUAUAACCCACCAAGGAUGGAGAGAUAGCAUCCAAGGAGCUAAAGAGAAAUCUCACUUUAGACACCUGGGGAACUCGAAUGAAAAGA
rnacentral:sRNA from 10 species